GAUGAACGCUGGCGGCGUGCCUAAUACAUGCAAGUCGAGCGAACGGACGAGAAGCUUGCUUCUCUGAUGUUAGCGGCGGACGGGUGAGUAACACGUGGAUAACCUACCUAUAAGACUGGGAUAACUUCGGGAAACCGGAGCUAAUACCGGAUAAUAUUUUGAACCGCAUGGUUCAAAAGUGAAAGACGGUCUUGCUGUCACUUAUAGAUGGAUCCGCGCUGCAUUAGCUAGUUGGUAAGGUAACGGCUUACCAAGGCAACGAUGCAUAGCCGACCUGAGAGGGUGAUCGGCCACACUGGAACUGAGACACGGUCCAGACUCCUACGGGAGGCAGCAGUAGGGAAUCUUCCGCAAUGGGCGAAAGCCUGACGGAGCAACGCCGCGUGAGUGAUGAAGGUCUUCGGAUCGUAAAACUCUGUUAUUAGGGAAGAACAUAUGUGUAAGUAACUGUGCACAUCUUGACGGUACCUAAUCAGAAAGCCACGGCUAACUACGUGCCAGCAGCCGCGGUAAUACGUAGGUGGCAAGCGUUAUCCGGAAUUAUUGGGCGUAAAGCGCGCGUAGGCGGUUUUUUAAGUCUGAUGUGAAAGCCCACGGCUCAACCGUGGAGGGUCAUUGGAAACUGGAAAACUUGAGUGCAGAAGAGGAAAGUGGAAUUCCAUAUGUAGCGGUGAAAUGCGCAGAGAUAUGGAGGAACACCAGUGGCGAAGGCGACUUUCUGGUCUGUAACUGACGCUGAUGUGCGAAAGCGUGGGGAUCAAACAGGAUUAGAUACCCUGGUAGUCCACGCCGUAAACGAUGAGUGCUAAGUGUUAGGGGGUUUCCGCCCCUUAGUGCUGCAGCUAACGCAUUAAGCACUCCGCCUGGGGAGUACGACCGCAAGGUUGAAACUCAAAGGAAUUGACGGGGACCCGCACAAGCGGUGGAGCAUGUGGUUUAAUUCGAAGCAACGCGAAGAACCUUACCAAAUCUUGACAUCCUUUGACAACUCUAGAGAUAGAGCUUUCCCCUUCGGGGGACAAAGUGACAGGUGGUGCAUGGUUGUCGUCAGCUCGUGUCGUGAGAUGUUGGGUUAAGUCCCGCAACGAGCGCAACCCUUAAGCUUAGUUGCCAUCAUUAAGUUGGGCACUCUAAGUUGACUGCCGGUGACAAACCGGAGGAAGGUGGGGAUGACGUCAAAUCAUCAUGCCCCUUAUGAUUUGGGCUACACACGUGCUACAAUGGACAAUACAAAGGGCAGCGAAACCGUGAGGUCAAGCAAAUCCCAUAAAGUUGUUCUCAGUUCGGAUUGUAGUCUGCAACUCGACUACAUGAAGCUGGAAUCGCUAGUAAUCGUAGAUCAGCAUGCUACGGUGAAUACGUUCCCGGGUCU
rnacentral:rRNA from 1 species